UUCUAGCCCCGAUUGGAGUGGAAAUCCUUUUGUUUUUUGAAUAAAAAACAAAAGAUUGGAACGGAAAGCGGGUUGGGUU
rnacentral:sRNA from 1 species